rnacentral:tRNA from 2 species
CGGGAUGUAGCUCAGCUUGGUAGAGCACUUGCAUGGGGUGCAAGGGGUCGCAGGUUCAACUCCUGUCAUCCCGAUCA